AACUGAUACUACCUGCGGGAACCUGCGGAGGGAUCAUUACUGGAGUGAUUUGGGGAUGUUGCUGGCCCUCUCUCAAGGGGGGGCACUGUGCACUCCUCGAAACAAUUCACAAUUUCCAUCACACCCCUUGUGCACACCUUGUAGGCACCCAAACCCACCUCCGGGUGGUGGGGUCCUAUGUAUUCCUUCAUCUCACACUCUGUUGAAUGGUGCCAUGGGACGCAUCUAAAGGAUUAUUUG
rnacentral:misc_RNA from 1 species